rnacentral:lncRNA from 1 species
AAGGGAUGGAGCUGGUUAGAUGAGCUUUGGCAGCUGGGCACGGAGGUUUUAGGCGACCUCCUCCUCUCCCUCUUCCUCAAACUCGCCCUCCUCGGCAGUGGCGUCCUGGUACUGCUGGUACUCAGAUACCAGGUCGUUCAUGUUGCUCUCAGCCUCUGUGAACUCCAUCUCAUCCAUGCCCUCACCAGUGUACCAGUGGAGGAAGGCCUUACGACGGAACAUGGCGGUGAACUGCUCGGAGAUGCGCUUGAACAGCUCCUGGAUGGCUGUGCUGUUGCCAAUGAAAGUGGCAGCCAUCUUGAGGCCGCGUGGUGGGAUGUCACAGACGGCUGUCUUCACGUUGUUCGGAAUCCAUUCAACAAAGUAGCUGCUGUUCUUGUUCUGCACAUUCAACAUCUGCUCAUCCACCUCCUUCAUCGACAUGCGGCCCCUGAACACUGCGGCCACGGUGAGGUAGCGGCCGUGACGUGGGUCGCAGGCAGCCAUCAUGUUCUUGGCAUCAAACAUUUGCUGGGUGAGCUCAGGCACAGACAGAGAGCGGUACUGCUGGCUGCCCCUGCUGGUGAGGGGGGCAAAGCCUGGCAUGAAGAAGUGGAGACGGGGGAAGGGCACCAUGUUGACAGCCAGUUUACGGAGAUCAGCGUUGAGCUGUCCAGGGAAGCGCAGACAGGUGGUCACGCCGCUCAUUGUGGCAGACACCAAAUGGUUAAGGUCUCCAUAGGUAGGGGUGGUGAGUUUAAGUGUACGGAAGCAGAUAUCAUACAGAGCUUCAUUGUCAAUGCAGUAGGUUUCGUCGGUGUUCUCUACCAGCUGAUGGACAGAGAGGGUGGCGUUGUAGGGCUCCACCACAGUAUCGGACACUUUAGGGGAGGGCACCACACUGAAGGUGUUCAUGAUGCGAUCAGGGUACUCUUCACGAAUUUUGCUGAUGAGCAGGGUGCCCAUGCCAGAGCCAGUGCCACCGCCCAGCGAGUGAGUGAGCUGGAAGCCCUGAAGGCAAUCACAGCUCUCAGCCUCUUUCCUCACUACAUCCAGGACAGAGUCCACCAGCUCGGCCCCCUCAGUGUAGUGGCCUUUGGCCCAGUUGUUUCCAGCUCCACUUUGGCCUGA